UUUGCACUUUGUAACACAUUUAGUCCACAGUUAACAGAUCUAAAGGUUUUAGCAUGUCCAAGUCAGGGACAUGAUGCGUUACAAAGUGCAAACUAUAUGGACCAAAUAUCACUACAAGAAAAAGGACCAAUAGCAGGCGGCAUUGUUAGCGGCGACAUCCAAUAUGUCGCCGCUAUUGCCCUUAUCCGCACCCGGUGUCCCAAGUGAAACCCUAGCCACACGUUUCUUAUCCUCAUCCAACGGCUGGGAUUUGUCCAGGUUAAUAGCGGCGACACUAUUAUAUCAAUAGCGGCGACAGGUUGUCGCCCCUAUUGGUCCGUCGAAUAAACAGACAAAACAUCGCCAAUUCUUCCCUCCUACCACUUUCCCCAAAACCUUUCAUCUCCUCUCACGGGUUCUUCUCCAAAUCGGCUAUAUCUCUUCAUUUUUACCAAUUUCUACUUCAAAUCGUCUCCACCGUCACCACCUCGUCUUCACGGCCACCACCUCAUCUCCACCGUCACCACCUCUUUUCCUCCAAAUUAAGGGAAAGCAAGCCGCAACCGACAAUGACGAUGACGACCUUUUUGACAAGGAUGAUGACGAUGACGAUGAGUAACUAGUACUAUCUACUUGUCGUUUUCAGAUGUUAUUUUGCGGAUAUUUUAGGAUAUUAUUGUAAAGAUACGUUUUAUGCGAUUUUAGUAUGUAAAGUAUUAUGUUUGUUUA